CCUCUAUCUAGCCAAUGUUUCUUAAAGUGCAGUCUAGAUGGAUCGCCUCCGCCAGAAUCACAUACAAUCCAUGUUCAAAAUGUAGAUGAUUAUAUACUAUUCAACACCUGCUGAGCCAGAAUCCGUAAGCUCCCUCGUGGUUUUCAGAGAGUAUCCUUGCUAUCAUGCCAGUAUAAUUCACCUUUCAUUUGACAGGUUUCCAAGUUAA
rnacentral:lncRNA from 10 species